UAGUACUCAUCUGUGCUCACUUCUGCCCUAUCAAACAGCAUCAGAAUGUAAAAGACUAUGAAGGUAAACAGAGAAGAUGGGGUUACAAAGAACACUGCAGUGAUUGGUUAAAGAGACCCAGCACAGCACAGCAGACUAAGGGAGGAAGUGAAUAUGCAUGACAUUGGCAUUUCUUCAAAUGUCAUUAAAAUGGAGAAAUAAGCGCAAGACGUAAAAGAAAAGGGAUCAUUCUACAUGAAAAGCACGUUGUAUGGAAAAUGGAGACAAGUACAGUACAUGCAUCAGAUUCCUUUUCCCCUUUAAAUUAAACCAGCCAAGUGACAGCGCACUCAAAUCUUAAAGUGACAGCACACUCAAGUCUUCUUAAAGUGACUCAAAGAGAUUGACAACAUAUCAGCACCCAACUCUCCAGAUCAACCUGGCGAAAGUGCCCCUCCAUCACCAGCAGCGGGAACAUCUGCUACACCAGAGGUACCACUGCUCACAAGACAACUACAAGGACCAGCACUUGAGGAAGUCCGCACCUGGCCCGCCUCCAUGAAGGCUACGGUAGAACCGAUCUUCGAAGGGUUAUAUCAGGUAUUUGAGUCACAUUUUCUG